rnacentral:rRNA from 1 species
AGAAUCAACGCUGGCGGCGUGCCUAACACAUGCAAGUCGAACGAGAAAGUGGAGCAAUCCAUGAGUAAAGUGGCGCACGGGUGAGUAACACGUGACUAACCUACCUUUUAGUGGGGGAUAACCUAGGGAAACCUGGGCUAAUACCGCAUAACACUUACGAGUCAAAGCAGCAAUGCGCUGAAAGAGGGGGUCGCGGCCGAUUAGCUAGUUGGCGGGGUAAGGCCCACCAAGGCAGUGAUCGGUAUCCGGCCUGAGAGGGCGCACGGACACACUGGAACUGAAACACGGUCCAGACUCCUACGGGAGGCAGCAGUGGGAAUUUGCGCAAUGGGGGAAACCCUGACGCAGCAACGCCGCGUGGAGGAUGAAGUCCCUUGGGACGUAAACUCCUUUCGAUCGGGACGAUAAUGACGGUACCGGAAGAAGAAGCCCGGCUAACUUCGUGCCAGCAGCCGC